ACAUCCAUUCCACUGGCUUGUCCAGCAGGGUCAUAUAACCCUCUACAAAGGCAAGCCAGCUGCCUUCUCUGUGCUAGAGGGUUCUUUUGUCCUAAGAAUUCCUCUUCUCUUGCUGGGAGUGAAUGUCCAGCUGGUCAUUACUGUCCUCCUGGUACAGCUUCAGCGACUCAAUACCCAUGCCCCAGGGGGACCUACAAUCCACAGAUUGGCAGCAGUCAUGUUUCUCACUGUAUCCCUUGUGAUCCAGGUCAUUACUGUGCAUUAGCAGGACAGUCACGUGUCACAGGACCUUGUUCAGCUGGAUAUUACUGCAGUGCAGGGAUUGCCACCCCAACACCUACCAGCGGCCUGGUGGGGAAUAUAUGCCCAGCAGGAAAUUACUGCCCUAAGGGAUCUGCUCUUCCGCAGCCGUGCCCUCUUGGUUAUUAUAGCAAUUCUACCAAGAAUACUGAGA